rfam:Aedes albopictus isolate Foshan contig111913, whole genome shotgun sequence.
UGUUCUGUGGCUUCUUAGUUGGUUAAAGUGCCGGACUAGCGAUACGGAGUCAUGGGUUCGAAUCCCACCAAAACAA